GGGUUGUGAGGUUAAGCGACUAAGCGUACACGGUGGAUGCCCUGGCAGUCAGAGGCGAUGAAGGGCGUGCUAAUCUGCGAUAAGCGCCGGUAAGGUGAUAUGAACCGUUAUAACCGGCGAUACCCGAAUGGGGAAACCCAGUGUGAUUCGUCACACUAUCAUUAACUGAAUCCAUAGGUUAAUGAGGCGAACCGGGGGAACUGAAACAUCUAAGUACCCCGAGGAAAAGAAAUCAACCGAGAUUCCCCCAGUAGCGGCGAGCGAACGGGGAGGAGCCCAGAGCCUGAAUCAGCAUGUGUGUUAGUGGAAGCGUCUGGAAAGGUGCGCGAUACAGGGUGACAGCCCCGUACACAAAAGCGCAUGUGCUGUGAGCUCGAUGAGUAGGGCGGGACACGUGGUAUCCUGUCUGAAUAUGGGGGGACCAUCCUCCAAGGCUAAAUACUCCUGACUGACCGAUAGUGAACCAGUACCGUGAGGGAAAGGCGAAAAGAACCCCGGCGAGGGGAGUGAAAAAGAACCUGAAACCGUGUACGUACAAGCAGUGGGAGCACCC
rnacentral:rRNA from 1 species